GCUGGGCAUGGUGAUGCGUGCCUGCAGUCUAGCUACUUGGGAGGCUGGGGUAGGAGGAUGGCUUGAGCCCAGGAGUUUGAGGCUGCAGUGAGCUGUGAUCACACACUGCUGCACUCAAGCCUGGGCAACAGAGCAAGACCCUGUCUCUU
ensembl:misc_RNA Metazoa_SRP Metazoan signal recognition particle RNA